AAAGGGAGACCUAAUUCAGGUAUAAGACGAAAAAAAAGUAGUCGCUACCAAGAAUCAAUCCCAAAAGGUCGGAGCGAGGCGAAAUUGGCUUUCAAACUAGGUUCUGGGUUCAAACAAGACCUGAAUCAGGAACAAGGGCUAUUAGCUCAGGUGGUUAGAGCGCACCCCUGAUAAGGGUGAGGUCCCUGGUUCGAGUCCAGGAUGGCCCACCUGCACAGGUGGCAAAAACAAGAGAAGCUCCGAAUCAGCACCUUAUCUUACUUACAUAGUAAGAGAGAAUGCUGGCUCUGAGUAAAGAGUCCAGAGGAACCUUGAAAACUGCAUAGAGCUAGGUGAAAAAGCCAAAAAAGAAGACCGCAAG
rnacentral:tRNA from 1 species